UGGGGAAUAUUGGACAAUGGGCGCAAGCCUGAUCCAGCAAUACCGCGUGUGUGAAGAAGGCCUUAGGGUUGUAAAGCACUUUUAUGUAGGAAGAAGGUAUGUAUGUUAAUAGCAUAUGUAAUUGACGGUACUACAAGAAUAAGCACCGGCUAACUCCGUGCCAGCAGCCGCGGUAAUACGGAGGGUGCGAGCGUUAAUCGGAAUUACUGGGCGUAAAGGGUACGUAGGCGGCUUAAUAAGUCAGAUGUGAAAUCCCCGGGCUUAACCUGGGAACUGCAUUUGAAACUGUUUAGCUAGAGUGAGUGAGAGGUUAGUGGAAUUCAAGGCGUAGCGGUGAAAUGCGUAGAGGU
rnacentral:rRNA from 1 species